GCAGUAGCCGCGGGAAUACGAAGGGUGCAAGCGUUACUCGGAAUUACUGGGCGUAAAGCGUGCGUAGGCGGUGAGUUAAGUCUGCUGUGAAAUCCCCGGGCUCAACCUGGGAAUGGCAGUGGAUACUGGCUCGCUAGAGUGUGUCAGAGGAUGGUGGAAUUCCCGGUGUAGCGGUGAAAUGCGUAGAGAUCGGGAGGAACAUCAGUGGCGAAGGCGGCCAUCUGGGACAACACUGACGCUGAGGAGCGAAAGCAUGGGGAGCGAGCAGGAUUAGAUACCCCUGUAGUCCCUGUCUCUUAUAA
rnacentral:rRNA from 1 species